UGGGGAAUUUUGUACAAUGGGGGAAACCCUGAUCCAGCCAUCCCGCGUGUGCGAUGAAGGCCUUCGGGUUGUAAAGCACUUUUGGCAGGAAAGAAACGUCAUGGGUUAAUACCCCGUGAAACUGACGGUACCUGCAGAAUAAGCACCGGCUAACUACGUGCCAGCAGCCGCGGUAAUACGUAGGGUGCAAGCGUUAAUCGGAAUUACUGGGCGUAAAGCGUGCGCAGGCUGUUCGGAAAGAAAGAUGUGAAAUCCCAGAGCUCAACUUUGGAACUGCAUUUUUAACUACCGGGCUAGAGUGUGUCAGAGGGAGGUGGAAUUCCGCGUGUAGCAGUGAAAUGCGUAGAUAUGCGGAGGAACACCGAUGGCGAAGGCAGCCUCCUGGGAUAACACUGACGCUCAUGCACGAAAGCGUGGGGAGCAAACAGG
rnacentral:rRNA from 1 species